rnacentral:ribozyme from 12 species
UAAGGGUUUAUAGUUUUCUCUCUCUCUCUCUCUUUUUCUUUCUUUUCUUUCUCCCUCCCUUUUUUAUUCUUUUUUUAUUUUUCUUAUCCCAUUCAUGCGGCCUUUCAAGUUCGGAAGAAAGAAAGUGCCAAGCGAGCGUAGCUUCUUAUAAUAUCUAUGAGCCUUAGUACAAAAGUAAAAAGAAAAAGAAAGGUUGGACAACUCUUUUUAUU